GUGUUUACUUUGGUAGCACAUAUGCUGAAAUUGGAAAGAUACAGAGAUUAGCACAGCCCUUGCAGAAGGAUGUCAGGAAAAUUUGUGAACUUUUCUAUAAAACUUUU